GAGCGCGCAAGAGCUGAAAAUCACAUAUAAAGGCGAUUUCCUGGGGAAGAAGCAACCAAAUUCAGGAAACCCAUAACCAGAAAUCCAAAGAAUUGGUAGCAGAAAGAAAAGGGUAUUGAAAUGCUGAAUUUGGCAAGUUGAAUCAGCGAGCGAGAAGUAGGAAUGGAUGUGAUAAAGACGCAGCAAAUAUCAGCGGGACCGAUAGAGAAGGUGAUAAUGCACCACUGGUUCUCCUGAAUGUCGUCGAUAACUACAACAGAGUCGCUAAGGACGCUCGCAAACUCGUUUUUGGUGUCUUGUUUGGUUCUUCUUUCAAAAGCACUGUUGAUGUCACCAACAGCUAUGAAGGUACAACUCUUGUUUUUCUCUCCGUACAGUUUCUAGAUCUCUUUUGCUUUUGAUCCUUCAAUCGUUCAAUUUGUGUUUGAAAAUUCUUUUGUGGGUUAUACUGAUUUAUAGAUCAUUAUAUGUUAAUAAUGGAAUUUGGUUUGGUAGUGAGUGUUAGAUAUUGAGAAUCAUGGCCAUGCUGAUGCGUUUUUUUAUCCCAUUUGGGAUAUGGACCAAAUAAAAGCUCAUAUUGUAAUUUCUCAGUGCCAUUUGAAGAAGAUGAUAAGGACCCAAGCAUCUGGUUUCUUGACCACAAUUAUCAUGACCAAGGAGAAUGUGUUGGGUUGCUAGUGGUACAGCACAGGUCCAAAACUGAGGGAAAAUGACCUGGACAUUUAUGGACUAUUUAAUGAGUAACAUCAUCACCUGUGUUUUAUAAAGUUAUUUGUUCUGUUUCUUGAUGGAAAUAGACAUCUCUCACUUGGACUAUCUGCCUCUUGGCAAAAUAUAUCUAUUUUUUUCUUUGAUCUUUUCUCCUCAGGUUUGCUUUAGUAUUAAUUUUUCUGCUUUAUUAAUAAUUUUUUGUUUGCCAUUGCAAUUAUGUUCCAAAUCCUGUCUUGGUCAUAAUUGAUGUCCAACCGGUAGAGCUGGGAAUUCCCACAAAAGCUUACUGUGCAGUUGAAGAGGUGAAAGAGUUAAAGAUAUCAGUUCUGAAAACCAAAGCUGAAAUAUGUAAUUGUUCUGUUGUGUUAAAUGAGUUAUUAUAAGUAGAAUAUGAGACAGUGAAAAGGAUUCUGUGGCUAGUCUUUCUUUAUAACAAUGCCUCCAUGUGUCAUGUGUGCUUGGAGGUAAACUGAUGGUGUGCAUUCCUGGACAUUAGCUGAUGGUUAUGUAUGGUUGCAGAAUGCAACCCAGAAAUGUCAGAAGGUGGUUGUGCAAGUGCCAUCAGAAAUUGCCGCUCAUGAAGUUGACGAAAUUGGUAUGCCAUAUGAAAGCAAUCAUUUUUUCUUGUUUGCAAAAUAGAACGAAAAUAGCCUUCUAUUUGCAAAAGCUUCUCUGCCAACCAAAGAGAGUAUAAUGAUUCCUGGUGAACUCAAUGUGUGCCAUUAUUUGGUCCGGCUAGCUCUUUAGCAAGUUUAGUUGGACUGAUUUGUUAAAUUGUUCAUGACUGUUACUCCUUGUGAAUCCACCAACAUGUGUUAUAUGAACAUUCGUCGUAUGAUUUA